CGCGAACGUUCCCUUCGGGGAGCUAUUAGAGUGGCGAAAGGGCGAGGAAUUCAUGGGUAACGUACCCCGGGCAUGAGGAUAGCUGUGGGAAACUGCAGGUAAUACUCAAUAAGACCACGGUGUCAUAUGGCACAGCGGUCAAAGGGCGGGGAUCCUUCGGGACCUGCCGGCCUGGGAGCGGCCCAUGUCCUAUCAGCUUGUUGGUGAGGUAACAGCUCACCAAGGCUGCGACGGGUACCGGGACCGAGAGGUUGACCCGGCGCAUUGGGACUGAGACACUGCCCAGACUCCUACGGGAGGCUGCAGUAACGAAUAUUCCGCAAUGGGCGCAAGCCUGACGGAGCGACGCCGCGUGCAGGAUGAAGCCCCUCGGGGUGUAAACUGCUGUCAGGGACCACCAAGCAAUGGGGGCUAAUAUCUCCCGGCGUUGAGGAAUCCCAAAGGAAGCCACGGCUAACUUCGUGCCAGCAGCCGCGGUAAGACGAAGGUGGCAAGCGUUGUUCGGAAUCACUGGGCUUAAAGCGCAUGCAGGCGGCCUGCCAAGCGUCUUGUGAAAGCCCUCGGCUCAACCGAGGAAUUGCUUGGCGAACUGGUAGGCUUGAGGCAGGUAGAGGCGUGUGGAACUCUUGGUGGAGCGGUGGAAUGCGUAGAUAUCAAGAGGAACGCCGGAGGCGAAAGCGAUACGCUGGGCCUGU
rnacentral:rRNA from 1 species